rnacentral:lncRNA from 1 species
CCUCCCCACCUUUGCAGUGUUGCUGGCUGAGACAUGUGGGCCAGUUAAGGUGGACAGCAUCCCCUUCCACCAUUGCCUCCCAUGGUUUCACUCUGGGUUGGGAGAGAAGGCAUCACUACUUGACAUGGAAGCAGCACAGGACUGUCUGGUCUUCUCUACCCAGACUCUCAAACGAGGCCUCUUUCUGUGUACUGUCCAUCUGCCAAGGCCUUGGUGGGCCUACAGUGCAGCCUGGAGGCCAGGGGAUGCUGAGUUCCCCUGAAGGUGAAGUGGUGGGAGGCAUGAGGAAUCAACCUCUUGUUGCAGCCUGUGUACCUACAUCAUAAGCCAAGGAUGAAUCAUUUUCCUCAGGGUCUAUGUUCUCUGUCCGAGCAUUAUUGGUAAAUCCAGACCCACUUUGGUUUUCAGGUGUAGGGAGCUCUUGACUUUGGAGUGUUCUGUUUCCUGAGUAUGUGAUAGGCAAGAGUGGAGUUUUUUCACUGAAAGUCAGUUUGAUGCGACUCUAAGGACUCUCACAUUUAUGUGGCACUUUCCAUGAAGACUCGAAAAGUUAUUUGAAGGGUUGGAAAAAACAAAAAAA